rnacentral:rRNA from 1 species
GACGAACGCUGGCGGCGUGCUUAACACAUGCAAGUCGAACGGAAAGGCCCUGCUUUUGUGGGGUGCUCGAGUGGCGAACGGGUGAGCAACACGUGAGUAACCUGCCCUUGACUUUGGGAUAACUUCAGGAAACUGGGGCUAAUACCGGAUAGGAGCUCCUGCUGCAUGGUGGGGGUUGGAAAGUUUCGGCGGUUGGGGAUGGACUCGCGGCUUAUCAGCUUGUUGGUGGGGUAGUGGCUUACCAAGGCUUUGACGGGUAGCCGGCCUGAGAGGGUGACCGGCCACAUUGGGACUGGGAUACGGCCAGGACUCCAACGGGAGGCAGCAGUGGGGAAAAUUGCAAAAUGGGCGGAAGCCUGAUGCAGCAACGCCGCGGGCGGGAGGACGGCCUUCGGGUUGUAAACCGCUUUCGCCUGUGACGAAGCGUGAGUGACGGUAAUGGGUAAAGAAGCACCGGCUAACUACGU